GAUGAACGCUAGCGGGAGGCCUAAUACAUGCAAGUCGAACGGUAACAGGUAGCAAUACGCUGACGAGUGGCGCACGGGUGAGUAACACGUACACAACCUGCCUAUGACUGGGGCAUAACUUCGGGAAACUGAAGCUAAUUCCCAUAACACUGCAGAAAGGCAUCUUUCAGCAGUUAAAGCCCCGGCGGUCAUAGAUGGGUGUGCGUUUGAUUAGCUAGUUGGUAAGGUAACGGCUUACCAAGGCUACGAUCAAUAACUGGUCUGAGAGGAUGAUCAGUCACACGGGCACUGAGACACGGGCCCGACUCCUACGGGAGGCAGCAGUAGGGAAUAUUGGACAAUGGAGGCAACUCUGAUCCAGCCAUCCCGCGUGAAAGGAUUAAGGCCCUAUGGGUUGUAAACUUCUUUUCUCUGGGAAUAAAAACCGGGAUUUAUCCUGGCUUGAAGGUACCAGAGGAAUAAGCAACCGGGCUAACUCCGUGCCAGCAGCCGCGUAAU
rnacentral:rRNA from 1 species